rnacentral:rRNA from 1 species
AUUGGGGAAUUUUCCGCAAUGGGCGAAAGCCUGACGGAGCAAUACCGCGUGAGGGAGGAAGGCUCUUGGGUUGUAAACCUCUUUUCUCAGGGAAGAAUUUAAUGACGGUACCUGAGGAAUAAGCAUCGGCUAACUCCGUGCCAGCAGCCGCGGUAAUACGGAGGAUGCAAGCGUUAUCCGGAAUGAUUGGGCGUAAAGCGUCCGCAGGUGGCGAUGUAAGUCUGCUGUUAAAGAAUCUGGCUCAACCAGAUAAAGGCAGUGGAAACUACAUGGCUAGAGUGCGUUCGGGGCAGAGGGAAUUCCUGGUGUAGCGGUGAAAUGCGUAGAGAUCAGGAAGAACACCGGUGGCGAAAGCGCUCUGCUAGGCCGCAACUGACACUGAGGGACGAAAGCUAGGGGAGCGAAUGGGAUUAGAUACCCCAGUAGUCAAU